AUUGAACGCUGGCGGCAGGCUUAACACAUGCAAGUCGAGCGAGAGGCGGACGGGUGAGUAAUGUAUGGGAAACUGCCUGAUGGAGGGGGAUAACUACUGGAAACGGUAGAUAAUACCGCAUACCAUCAGAUGUGCCCAGAUGGGAUUAGCUAGUAGGUGGGGUAAUGGCACACCUAGGCGACGAUACCUAGCUGGUCUGAGAGGAUGACCAGCCACACUGGAACUGUGACACGGUCCAGACUCCUACGUGAGGCAGCAGUGGGGAAUAUUGCACAAUGGGCGCAAGCCUGAUGCAGCCAUGCCGCGUGUGUGAAGAAGGCCUUCGGGUUGUAAAGCACUUUCAGCGGGGAGGCGUUACUCGCAGAAGAAGCACCGGCUAACUCCGUGCCAGCAGCCGCGGUAAUUC
rnacentral:rRNA from 1 species